UACGAAGGGGGCUAGCGUUGUUCGGAUUUACUGGCGUGAAGCGCACGUAGGCGGAUAUUUAAGUCAGAGGUGAAAUCCCAGGGCUCAACCCUGGAACUGCCUUUGAUACUGGAUGUCUUGAGUAGGGAAGAGGUGAGUGGAAUUCCGAGUGUAGAGGUAAAAUUCGUAGAUAUUCGGAGGAACACCAGUGGCGAAGGCGGCUCACUGGUCCAUUACUGACGCUGAGGUGCGAAAGCGUGGGGAGCAAACA
rnacentral:rRNA from 1 species